rnacentral:tRNA from 1 species
GCGGGUAUGGUAUAGUGGUUGUGCUCCACGUUGCCAGCGUGGUAAGACCAGUUCGAUUCUGGUUGUCCGCA